AAGGGAAUCAAACAGGCGUGUAGAUCUUCCCAGUGACGAAUUAGAAUAUAAAAGAGGUGGUGGUGGUGCGCACCUUUCCACUCAGCACUCAGGAGACACAGGAAAGGACCACUGUCUUGUGAAGCUACCUGGA